GAUGGGUGUUUCACAGAUGUAAAUAGGGGUACAAUUUAAAUUACUGCAAUUAACUAAAAGAGAAACAAGGUGCAUGUGGCCGGCUCAGUUGGAAGAGCUUGCGACUCUUGAUCUCGAGGUCAUGAGUUCGAGCCCCAUGUUGGCUGUAGAGAUUACUUAAUUAAAAAAAAAAAAAAAAGCAACAAGUGAAGUAAUGAAGAGACAUAAUGGCAGAACUCAUAUCCCACCAUCAUACCAUUCCACUCCCACCCCAUCUUGUAACAGCCUGAUCUAUGUAUCCCUAUUUUUGUUCAUCCAGAUAGGUGUACACAAAUACUACACAGGGUUUUGUCUUACUCUACAUGUUCUCUGCAACUUGCUUUUAAAAUUUAAUGUGUAUUUUGAGCACCUUCAAGUCCAUACAUAGACUUCUUUUAAAUUCCUUAAUCUACACACACACACUCCCGUGUAAAUGAAAUGAGAUUUUUUUUGGUGCGUCUGUUUGCUGUAAAUAAGUGGGAUAACACAUACCCUGUGCAUCUUUUCUCAUCCAAAAAUGUGUGAUGGAAAUCCCUCCAAGUCUGUCUCAUAGCUGUUAUUUCAUUCUUCUGAAUGCUGUAUAAUACUCUAUGAUGAUGACUUAAACUUCUUCUCUAAUUAAUGGACAUGUACUUUGCUACCGGAUUUUCACUAUUAUGGUAACUAUGCCUGUGCACAUACUCAUGACCAUGAUGGUGUCACUUCUGUGGAGUAGAUUGCCUGCAGUAGGAUUGCUGGUUGACAGCUACAUAGAUUUAAAUUUUUUUAAUAACUAUUGACAGAUUAUUUCCCAAAAAGGCUGGAGCAAUUUAUAUCUUCAUCAGUAAAUGUACAGUAUAAAAAUUACCCAUGCCCUUCAUCCCCACUAGGGAUGUUGUAUCAUUUUAAAAAAGAAGAAAAAAAAGACUGGUGUGUGUAUAAUGAUUUCUCAGUAUUACUUUAUUUGCAUUUUACCUAAUUAUUGUAAAUCUGCAUAACUUUUCAUAUGUUCUUUGGUUAUUUGGGUUUCACUCAUAAUUAAAUUACCUUUUGUAUUUUCUAUUGCUGUAUAACCGAUUAGCACCAAUUUAGCAGCUUAAAGUGAUACCUGUUUAUUAUCUCACAGUUAUAUGGGUUAGAACUUCAAGCAGGCUUGACUGGGCUCUUUGUUUACUGUCUGAUAAGGCUGAAAUGAAGGUGGGUGCCAGUCUGAGCUCUUAACUGAAGGAUCUGGGGAAGAAUUCACUUCCAAGCUCAUUCAUGUUGUUGGCAGAAUCUGAAUCCUUAAAACUGUAGGACGGUUGUAGAUGGAGGGCUCUGUUUUCUUGCAGGCUGUCAGCCAGAGGUUGAUCUCAGCUUUUAGACGUUACUCUCCAAUCCUUGUACAUGACCCCUCCCAUCUUCCAAGUUAGCAAGGAUUCAUCAAGAUCCUUCUCAUCCUUGACUUUCUCUGCUUUUUCUUCUGCUGCAAGCCAGAGAAAACUCUGCUUUUAAAGGACUUAUGUACCUAGGGCGAACCCACCCAGAUAAUUUCUGUAUGUUAAGGUCUACUGGUUAGUAACCUUAAUUAAGUCUACAGACUCCCUUUGCUCUGUAAAUGUAGCAUUGUCAUGGGAGGAACAUCAGGGUGAAAGAUUAUGGGGGCCAUCUUAGAAUUCUGCCCUACCACAAAUCUUCAUAUUUUUAUUUAUAUCUUUAUAUUUGUGUCCAUGUUUCUAUUGUGUUUGCCUUUUUAUUUAGUUUGUAGGAGGUUUUUGUAUAUUACAUCUAUUAAGCCUUCCUACUCUUGGUUGCAAAUAGUUUUACCAACUCAUUUAUAAGUUGUCUAUUGACCACUAAUAUUAUUAAGUACUUUUUCCACAGAAAACUUAGCCAUUUGGAUUUCCCUCUUAAGGUGAAUUGCAUAUUUGUAUUUUUUAAUUCACAUUUAAAAUUUUUACUCAUUUUUUCAUUUACUUGAUUUUUAUUAACAUUUUGCCCAUAUGUGCACUGUCUUUUAAAAAAAUUUUAAGCACUCUUUCAAUCAUUAUAUGUAAAUGCUUCAUCAUAUUAUUUGCAAAUUUUCUCCAAAUCUGUCAUCAUUUACCAUAUUUAUAAUACAUUUUCCCAUUAAAAACUUUAUAUUAGUAUAUACUCAAGUAUAUUAAUUUACAAAAUGUGAACACUUAUAAAUACAUAAAAAUUUCAAAGUAUUCUGUAUUGAUUAAGGCCUUCACUUCUGAGUGACGUGUGUAGUCUCCUAGAAUGUCUUCUACAUUUCAUUUUUGUUGUUAGUGUUUUUUCACAUUGUUUUUACUCCAUUUGGAAUUUGGUUUUGUAUAGAACGCCAGCUAUGGACCCAACUCUCCUUUCUUCCACGUGGGUUGCCAGUUGUUCCAGCACUUUUUAUUAAAUUAUCCUUUAACAAUGAAAUGAAAUACCAACUUUGUCAUAUAUUAAAUUUUCAUAUAUAAUGAGAUUUCUCAAUAUACUGUGCUGUUUCACUAAUAGUACUCUUUAUAUGUGGCAAUAUCACACUGAUUUAAUUACAGUGGCUUUAUGUAUAGUCAUACAGUGGCUUCAUAAAAUGGUCAGGCAGAACUUUUUCCCACCCCACGGUCCUGCAUACUGUUCUUUUCACUACCUUUCUUGGCUAUUAUCAGGCAUUUCAAGUUUGUGAUCAUUUUAUCCAAUUAGGGGUUGAAAUUCCAUUAAAUUUAAAAAUUAAUUUGGGGAAAUUUGACAUAUGAUAUUAUCUUCUGUUUUUAUUUUUAUUUUUAAAUUUAAUUUAUUUUUGAUAGAGAGCACAAGUGGGGGAGGGGCAGAGAGAGAAGGAGACACAGAAUCCAAAGCAGGCUCCAGGCUCCGAGCUGUCAGCACAGAGCCUGAUGCGGGGCCAGAACCCACAAAUUGUGAGAUCAUGACCUGAGCCAAGGUCGGACGCUCAGCCGACUGAGCCACCCAGGCUUCCCGCCAUAUGAUAUGUCUUCUAAGAACUAACAAAAUUAUAUCAUUUUCUGUUUGCUCAGAUCUUGUCUAUAUCAUUAGAAUGAUUAAGAUUUGAGAGUUUUCUUCACUUAAGUCCUGUGUCUUUUUUUUACUAAAUGUAGUCUUGUUCCUUAGUUUUUUGGUCAUUAUUAAGAACGGAUUUUUUUCCCCCAUUUUCAUUUCUAAAGGCUUAUUACAAAGAAAAAGCCUAUUUUUUUUCCUGUGUGCUUAAACCUUAUAUGUAACAGAUUUAUUAUAUAUACUUACUAAAUUUUCUCAUGAAGUUUUCACUAGGGACUCUCUUGGGACUUUUAGAAAUAUAAUGAUGAUACAAAUAUUAUGAUACACGAAAUCACAAAAAUAACUCGUUUUUUUUUAAUAUUAGAAAUAUUCUUUUCCUCUCUAGAAUCUUUAUUGUCUAGAAACUCUAUUAUAGUGUUGAAUGGUAAUGGUGAUAGCCAGCACCUCUGUCACGGAUUUUAAUUGAAGUAGUUUAUUGAGCUGUUUCGAAUAUUCAUGUUGCUUUUUGGUAAAUAAUCUUAUCUAAACAAAUUCUUGUUUUACCAAGACAUUUUAUCAGAAAAUGCUGCUGAAUUUUGUCAAAUGCCUUUUCAGCCUUUUUUGAUGUGGUUUUGUGUUAGUCUUCUUUAAUCUGUUGACUACUUAGAUUACAUUGGAGCUGCUGAUAUUAAGCCACUCUUGUCUCCUUGGAAUAAAACCUACUUGGUCAUAAUGUGUUAUUCUUUUUUUUUUUUUUUUUUUUUUUUAUAAAUCAGUAUUCCAGUUGCUAAUAUUUUAUUUAGAAUUUCAGCAUGCAUAUUCAUACAUGAGAUUAGUCUAUAGGUUUCUUUAGUGGUCUGUUUUUAUUAGGUAUAAAAAGUUAUGCAGGUUGACAAAAUGUGGGACUAAUCAGAAGGCUCGCCCACUGUGGUUGAGAAUGCAAAUUUAUUCAAAUGUGUUAGAAAACCACUUGGCUGAAUCUACUGACGUGAAAAUAUAAAAUCUAGUAAUUCUGCUUCUGGGCAAACACCCAAUAAAAUGCAUACAUAUGUUUACCAAAAGACAUGUUCUAGAAUGUUUAUAGCAACAUUAUUAGCAAUAGCUUCAAACCAGGAACUACCUAAAAGUCCAUCUACUAUAGCAUGGAUAAAUACAUUUUUGUGUUCAUACAGUGGAAUAUUAUACAGCAACAAGAAUGAACAGUUUGUAAGCACAUGCAAUAUAUGGAUGAAUCUCAGAAACGUUAUGUCGAGCCUUAAAAGGCAGAUAUAAAAAGAAUACUGUGUGCUUGCCUUUUUAUAAGUGCAAAAACAGGCAAAACUAAUCUGUUAACUGUUAGAAGACAGGAGCGUGGUUAUCUUCAGUGAGAGAUAAGUAGAGGGGGAGGUAGUGUCUGAAAGAGUUUGAGGGGGAUUCUGCAGUGCUGGUAACAUUUUGUGUCUUUGUCUAGGUGCCUGUUUAUGUUCGAUUGUUUAGGUCAUGGAAACUCAUCUACUUUACACUUACAUGUACACUUUUCUGUAUGUAUUUUAUACUUGAAUAAAAUGUUUUUAGAAAGCAAUACUUGUUUCAUAGAAUGAAUUGGGGAGAUUUCAUCUUUUUCUACAGUUUAGAAUUGUUUAAGAGGUCUUUGAAAUUAUAUGUUAAAGAUUAGAUGAAACUUGGCUGAGAGACUUUCGGUCCUGAGGCCUUCUUGUUUAGAGGUAGGAUUUUUCAUUGCUUUUCUACCUUUGGUUCAAAAUAUUCACUUCUUGAAUUAAUUCUGAUAAUUUAUAUUUUGUAGGAAAUACUUCAUUUUUUUGUAGGUUUUCACAUUUAUUUUCUAUAGAUCUGUGUUUUUAUGUUUCUUGUAAUUUCUUCAGUGUGUGGUAUUAUGGUUUUUAUUCUUUUUAUCCAAGGAUUAUCUAUCUGUGUUUCUUAAUUUUCAAGGAGUUCAGGAAAAGCAGUACUAAUUUUUCACAUUCAGUUCCUCUUGGCAAGUUGAAGGGUGAGGAGGAAACAAUCAAGGUGGAUCAAGAAUUUGCUCAGAAUCCCAUCUGAAGAUUCCUGGAUCAGAGGAGCAAAGGAAAUCUGCCCAGUGGCCCUCCAGCAGAUUUCUCCAUGUAUCUCACUGGCCACAACAUUGCCUCUCUACCUUUAAUGGAUGUUGAGAAAGUGAGUAUCUCACUGUUCAGCUUCUGUAGUAGGAGAUGGCAGUGAGAAGUCAAUUUCAAAUGGCUUUUGGGUUAGACAACAAAUGUUCCCUCUCACAACUACCCCAUUAGCCAGGAACCUCUUUAAUCACUCAUUUCUAUUUUGCAUUUGCCCUCAUUUCUCCUCUCUCGCCCUGAUUAUGAAAAGAAAUAUAUGUGGCUUGUGGAUGCUGAGUCCUAAUUUUCCAAUUCUUGAGAACAGUGCCUCAAAUCGCCUUCCAAAUGAGACAUUUGCUUUCUCCAUGGGAUAUUACAGUCAUUCUAAUCUUGUUUGUUCAUUCCCAGUUUUGAAUUCACUCACUCUCUGAAGAACCAUCAAACAAACCCUGAUAAGUAGGCUUUCUUUCACACAAAUCCUGAAGAACUCUGUUGUCUUAGAUAUAGCCUGGAGUUUGUCUCUAAGGUUAAGUUUCAUAUCAGUUGGUACAUAACUCUUCUUGAAUUCUUUCUGCACCAAGAGGAUUACAUUUUACAUCUUAGAAGAAGUCGGUUUGUUUUCCUAAAGAUGCUAUAAAAAAAAAGAAAACA